rnacentral:tRNA from 1 species
GCCAGUGUGGUGUAGUGAUUUGAGCAUUGGACUGCAACUCUGGAGACCAGGCUUCGAUUCCCUGCUCUGCCA